rnacentral:rRNA from 1 species
AGGACGAACGCUGGCGGCGUGCUUAACACAUGCAAGUCGAGCGGUGAUCCUCCUUCGGGAGGUGAUCAGCGGCGAACGGGUGAGUAACACGUGGGCAACCUGCCCCUCACACUGGGAUAAACCUCGGGAAACCGGGGCUAAUACCGGAUACGACCUCGAGCGGCAUCUCUUGAGGUGGAAAGCUCCGACGGUGAGGGAUGGGCCCGCGGCCUAUCAGCUUGUUGGUGGGGUAAUGGCCUACCAAGGCGACG